rnacentral:rRNA from 1 species
AUGAUGACUCUCGGCAACGGAUAUCUCGGCUCUCGCAUCGAUGAAGAACGUAGCGAAAUGCGAUACCUGGUGUGAAUUGCAGAAUCCCGUGAGCCAUCGAGUCUUUGAAUGCAAGUUGCGCCCGAGGCCACCCGGUCGAGGGCACGCCUGCCUGGGCGUCACUC